CAGUAGCCACGGUAAUACGUAGGUGGCAAGCGUUGUCCGGAAUUAUUGGGCGUAAAGCGCGCGCAGGUGGUUUAAUAAGUCUGAUGUGAAAGCCCACGGCUCAACCGUGGAGGGUCAUUGGAAACUGUUAAACUUGAGCGCAGGAGAGAAAAGUGGAAUUCCUAGUGUAGCGGUGAAAUGCGUAGAGAUUAGGAGGAACACCAGUGGCGAAGGCGGCUUUUUGGCCUGUAACUGACACUGAGGCGCGAAAGCGUGGGGAGCAAACAGGAUUAGAUACCCCCGUAGUCCCUGUCUCUUAUAC
rnacentral:rRNA from 1 species